rnacentral:misc_RNA from 1 species
GAAUAUAGCAAUAAUUUUUAAAAAAAUUUUUAUUAUCAAUUUAAACAGAAGAAGCAAGGGAAACACUGAAAUAGUGAAAUACACGAGAAAAGAUGAACUGCAGUCUGCAGCUUGCAGUUAGCCAGUAGUAACAGGCCCAAAGGCUAACAGAAAGAGCAACACAAGAGCUUGAUUCAAGCAAGCUGCCCACAAUCACUAAUAACAACGGGCUUCGAGGUCCUUCCAGAGGAAGAUCCAGCCUUCUCAAUGGACUUCACUACAUCCAUCCCUUCCACCACUCUCCCAAACACCACGUGCUUUCCGUCCAGCCACUCUGUCUUUGCCGUGCAUAUAAAAAACUGCGAACCAUUCGUCCCAGGCCCUGCAUUAGCCAUCGACAAGAUCCCUGGUCCCGUGUGCUUCUUAAUGAAAUUCUCAUCGGCGAACUUUGCUCCGUAGAUAGAUUCCCCUCCCGUUCCGUUUCCGGCAGUGAAAUCGCCUCCCUGGCACAUGAAUCCAGGGAUCACUCGGUGGAAACUAGAUCCCUUGUAGUGCAACGCCUUGCGGCUGCGUCCAAUCCCUUUCUCUCCAGUGCAGAGAGCCCUGAAAUUCUCAGCCGUUCGUGGCGUAGUAUCUGCAAAUAGCUCCAUCACGAUCCGGCCAGCCGAAGCAUCACCGAUGGUCAUGUCGAAGAAGACCUUAGGAUUUGCCAUUGCAGAAAAUGAGCACGGUUCUGCACCAUGCG